rnacentral:lncRNA from 1 species
UUCGCUAGUAUGACCUGCCUAAGUUUAUUUGGUAUUUAAUUGGUCGGUCAGAGUAUAGGGAUAAUAUGUGAUAUGUUAAUUAACUCUUGUUUUGUGGUAGUGUUUGAAAAUAGUAGCUGAAAAUGUUAACAAUGGAGUGAAUGAGACCAUUGAGACACCUUUAAUCACUAACCGGGUUAAUGUAUUGUCAGACAAAGAAGAA